AUGAGAUCGGCCCUCUUUGGUGGUGCCCCACUCUGCAGCUGCUCCUCGUAUAAACCUCUUCAGGUCCUUCUGAAACCUCCCUCAAGGAAAAGACUGGAAAAACCUGGAAGAGGAACGAGAUCAAGAAAUGAAGAAAAGGAAUCCUGACUUGGCUUUUGUAGACACUAGAAUGAGCAGCACGUAUUCUUUAAGAAGACAGGAAAUUGUGGAAGACGAGCCUCCAGUGUUGGAACUUAUGGUCAGAUGGCCGGCACUUUUCACUGAGAGACAGGGGGGUAUCUGCAGGCAUCAAACCACAGAAAGAGGACAGUCAUGCUGCAGGCGUUGCCAUGGUACUUGAGAGAGAAUCCCUCCAAGUUCCUUAAGAUGUGUGAACCCACUGUUUGAGAAGAUGAUGUCAUCAAAGGAAUGACCAUUGGAAUCCUUGCAGUAGUAGAGGAUGUGAAGGAACCCCUCCCAGCAGUCUACAGUGGCGUGGUGCUGGUCAUGGAAGAGCAUGUUGUCCUUCGUAAACUUGGUGAUGUACCAAAUGUGUUUAUGAACUUGAUGGGCCUGCUCUAUGCAUUGAACAUGAACUACCCUAAAGAUCUCAGAUAUACUUUUGAGGUGAUCCAGCGUCUGUUCAUGGGCAUUGGGAUAGAAUCUUGCACUGCUAGAGUACACACAC